AGUUUGAUCCUGGCUCAGACUCAAGUCGUAACAAGGUAUCCAGUAGAGUUUGAUCAUGGGUCAAAGGCUGAGUAACACUGGGGUAACCUGCCCAUCACAAGGGGAUAACACUUGGAAACAGGUGCUAAUACCGUAUAACAAUCAAAACCGCAUGGUUUUGAUUUGAAAGGCGCUUUCGGGUGUCAUUGAUGGAUGGACCCGCUGAGCGUUAACUAAGUGGAGAAGCCGCGGCUCACCUAAGACGCUAUGCAUACCCGACCUGAGAGGGAGAUCGGCCACAUUGGGACUGAAACCCGGCCCAAACUCCUACGGGAGGCGGCAGAAGGGAAUCUUCGGCCAUGGACCAAAGUCUGACCGAGCAACGCCGCGUGAGUGAAUAAGGUUUUCGGAUCAUAAAACUCUGUUGUUAGAGAAGAACAAGGAUGAGAGUAACUGUUCAUCCCUUGACGGUAUCUAACCACAAAGCCCCGGCUAACUACAUGGCAGCAGCCGCGGAAAUACAUAAGUGGCAAGCGAUGUCCGGAUUUAUUGGGCGUAAAGCGAGCGCGAGCGGUCUCUUAUCUCUGAUGUGACUGCCCCCGGCUCUACCGGGGAGGAUCAUUGGAAACUGUGACACUAGAGCGCAUAAGACGAGAGUGUAAUUCCAUGUGUAACGGAGAACUGCGUACAUAUAUGAACGCACACCACUGAUACAGAGACUCUCUCUGGACUGUAUGUGACGCUGA
rnacentral:rRNA from 1 species